AGUGAACGCUGGCGGUAGGCCUAACACAUGCAAGUCGAACGGCAGCACAGUAAGAGCUUGCUCUUACGGGUGGCGAGUGGCGGACGGGUGAGGAAUACAUCGGAAUCUACUUUUUCGUGGGGGAUAACGUAGGGAAACUUACGCUAAUACCGCAUACGACCUACGGGUGAAAGCAGGGGAUCUUCGGACCUUGCGCGAUUGAAUGAGCCGAUGUCGGAUUAGCUAGUUGGCGGGGUAAAGGCCCACCAAGGCGACGAUCCGUAGCUGGUCUGAGAGGAUGAUCAGCCACACCGGAACUGAGACACGGUCCAGACUCCUACGGAAGGCAGCAGUGGGGAAUAUUGGACAAUGGGCGCAAGCCUGAUCCAGCCAUACCGCGUGGGUGAAGAAGGCCUUCGGGUUGUAAAGCCCUUUUGUUGGGAAAGAAAAGCAGCAGGUUAAUACCCCGCUGUUCUGACGGUACCCAAAGAAUAAGCACCGGCUAACUUCGUG
rnacentral:rRNA from 1 species